UACGUAGGGUGCGAGCGUUAAUCGGAAUUACUGGGCGUAAAGCGUGCGCAGACGGUUUUGUAAGCCAGAUGUGAAAUCCCCGGGCUUAACCUGGGAAUGGCAUUUGGGACUGCAAGGCUUGAGUGCGGCAGAGGAGACUGGAAUUCCUGGUGUAGCAGUGAAAUGCGUAGAUAUCAGGAGGAACACCGAUGGCGAAGGCAGGUCUCUGGGCUGACACUGACGCUCAUGCACGAAAGCGUGGGGAGCAAACAGG
rnacentral:rRNA from 1 species